rnacentral:misc_RNA from 1 species
GUUUGUUUGUUCAAUACACGUACAGUUGUACCUGGAUGACUCGAAGGCACUGUUUAUAUAUAUAUAGACCUUGCUUAGUGCUAGUAUCUGCAGCCUUUGUAAGUAAAUCAAAUGCUUUGAAAUGGCUGGGACUAUAGCUCGAGUUGGACAGUUCCUCUCUAGAUUGGACCACAGUUAUCGCAUUAGUCCUUUGUUGGCUUCUGUUACAUCAAAGAAUUAUACAACACCAAGCGAUGGAAAGUCUCCAACAAAACCUCUCAACAAACGCUUGAAAGAAACGGCAGAAGCUGUCGUUAUCGGAGGAGGUUGUGUUGGUGUUAGUACAGCGUACCACUUGGCCAAAGCAGGAAUGAAAGAUGUUGUGUUAUUGGAGAAAACUGAACUGACCGCAGGUUCCACUUGGCAUGCUGCUGGUCUUGCAACAUACUACCAUCCAGGUAUCAAUUUGAAAAAUAUUCACUACUACAGUAUCCAGCUUUUCUCACAACUCAAAGAAGAGACAGGACAGGAGGUUGGCUUCCAUACACCAGGAAGUUUAAGGGUAGCGAUGACGCCGGAGCGUUGUGAUGAAUUUCACUACCAGAUGCAGCGACAGGCAUGGCAAAAAGCCCCACAGUGGCUUCUCACUCCUGAGGAAAUCCAAGAAGUUCAUCCACUCCUUAAUAUGGAUAAGGUUUUACUGGGUCUUUUCAACCCUGGGGAUGGUCAUAUUGACCCAUAUUCUUUGACACAAGCUCUUGCUAUCGGGGCCAGGAUGUAUGGUGCGGAUUUGUACCAGAAUAGUCCAGUAACAGCUACUUUUCAGCGAUCGGAUGGUGGAUGGGAUGUCAUGACUGAGCAUGGUACCAUCAAUGCUAAGAGAGUCAUCAAUGCUGCAGGCUUUUGGGGAACUGAGAUUGGCAAAAUGGCUGGCAUUGAUAUUCCAUUAGUGCCCAUCCACCAUCAGUAUGUAGUAACCUCGACCAUCCCGGAGGUGAAAGCCUUGAAGAAGGAGCUGCCGGUGAUUCGUGAUCUGGAUGGAUCAUACUAUUUACGGCAGGAGAGGUCUGGUCUGCUUGUAGGCCCAUACGAAGCUGAACACAAGAUGAGACUUCAAGAUGAUUGGAUAACGGAAGGGGUUCCGCCGGAUUUUGGCCGAGAACUGUAUGAGAGUGAUCUUGAUAGGAUUAGUGACAAUCUGGAAUAUGCCAUGGAAUUGGUUCCAGUUUUAGCCAAAGGUGACAUCCAGUCAGUGGUUGCCGGGCCAAUCACCUACUCUCCUGAAAACCAAGCCCUAAUUGGUCCAUGCUAUGGUGUUCAGAAUUACUGGGUUCUGUGUGGUUUUGGGUACGGUGUUAUUCAAUCAGGAGGUACUGGUAAAUAUGUUGCAGAUUGGAUUAUGAAUGGAGAACCACCGUAUGACCUCAUUGAGGUUGACCCAAAUCGCUAUGGCAAGUGGUGCACUAACGAGUUCACAUUUAAGAAAGCACGGGAGUCGUAUGGUUUGAAUAAUCUUCUAGGCUAUCCUAAAGAGGAGAGGCCAGGUGGAAGGCCUACAGAGAGAAUCUCUGGAAUUUAUGAGACACUCAGAAGGAAAGGUGCAGAGAUGGGAUUUCAUGCUGGUUGGGAACAGCCAAAUUGGUUUGCACUUGAGGGUGAUGAAGCAGGUUACAAACCGAGUUUCAGGCGAACAAAUUGGCAUCACCCUGUCUUAAGAGAAUGUGAACUGGUUAAAACAAAGGCAGGAGUCAUUGAUCUUACACCUUUUGCCAAGUUUGAGGUUAGCGGGAAAGAUGCUUCCAAGUACUUGGACUAUCUUGUGGCUAAUAAACUUCCAAAGAUCGGAUCUGUAAAUGUUGCUCACAUGCUGACCCCACGAGGGCGUGUGUAUGCAGAGUUAACAAUCACUAGAGAAGAAGAUAACAAAUAUUUUGUAAUCACAGGAUCAGGCUCGGAACUGCAUGAUUUGAGGUGGAUGGAAGAACAAGCUUUAGCAGGUAACUACGAUGUUCAGUUUAAGAAUGUAACAGAUGAAGUGGCCUGCCUAAGCAUAGCCGGACCACUAGCUAGAGACAUCCUGUCUACUGUUACUACAGCAGACAUCAGUAACGAUGCCUUUAAAUUCAUGACUUGGCAAGAAAUCACAAUAGGUGAUGUGCUUGUGAAGGCAUUAAGAAUUUCUUAUACAGGUGAACUUGGCUGGGAAUUCUACCAUGAUAGAGCAGACACAGCCAAGUUGUAUGACACAUUGAUGACUGCUGGGGCACCAUUCGGUAUAGGAGACUUCGGCACUUAUGCAAUCAAUGUUAUGCGUUUGGAGAAAGGGUUUAGAAUGUGGGGAGCAGAGAUGCUAACUGAUAACAACCCGCUAGAGGCAGGUCUACAGCCAUUUAUCAAGUUGAAAAAGGAAGCAGAUUUUAUAGGGAAAGAUGCUUUGUUGGCCCUCAAGGAACAGGGUUUAAAACGAAAAUUGGUCCUACUGACUGUGGAAACCGACGAUGUAGAUCCCGAAGGAAAUGAAACAGUAAGAGUGAAUGGAGAGGUUGUAGGAAACACCACCUCGGGUUGUUUUAGCCACUGUCUGAACCAAAGCAUAUGUUAUGCAUACUUACCAUCUACCAUGACAGAGAUUGGUACACAUGUGCAGGUAGAGCUGCUUGGUAAACAUUAUACCGGUACCAUCACCAAGGAACCCUUGCAGGACACUGAACCUACCAGGAAUCGCAAGAUGAUGAAAGCUGGCAAAAAGUAGUAAAGAUGUGAAAUAAAUAAAAUACACCAAAACAAAUACAUAUACACAUCUUACAGUACAGCUUGACACAACAUAAGUGUGCAUAUUACGCACACACAUACACCAACACAUGCACGAAAGCUUAUGCCAUUAUGUAUUAAUUGUACCUUGAUAUUCAAAAUGGUGAUAGUGAUGAUGGUGAAUGUUUUUUAGAAAUUUGCAUUUUUUGCAAUUACUAAAGCAUUAUGAUAAUCAUGAAUUCCUUAUUGAAAAAAAUUAGAUUUACUAAAAAGAAAACAAAUUGGUUGUGAAGGUGUUUCAGUGGUGCAUGCUUUAUAAUUUCAAGGUCUUGUGUUCAAAUCUUGCUGAAGUCAGGGUAUUUUCAAAAUACUAGGCAAAAUGCAUUCACUAUAAUGUUUAGUAUGAACACUGUCAUAAUGCAGUUCAUUCGCAAGUGAUUUAAUCUGUAUUUAAAAAAAUCCCGGGGGGAGAAUGUUAGCCCAGAUCUGUGACAGAUAUGGUACAUGAAACACUUGAGACUCAGGCCAUAUUAUUUAAUUAAUUUAACAGAGCCUCUGAAUAUGAGCUGACUUCUUGGGCAUAGCUGGUUGUGUCAGUAUGGUUCAGUUGAUUGGAAUAUCACUACAAUACAAAACUCAAUGUAUAGAUAUAGAAAUUUUUGCACCACACAAUUCAAAAUCAUUUUUUAUGUUAAUUCUGAGUUGUACACUUAAAAUGUUACAAAAAUAAAACUUAAGCAUCAUAAGCAUAAGCAUUGUAGAUAGAAUAGUGAAUUACUGUAUGAGAGGUCAAUAGUAUCAUGCUUGUUUGAAUCAUGUCAUCAUAUUUUUUGUAUUAUUUAGUUUUUUUAUUGACACUUCCUUGUUGGUUCUCAAUACAGACAUAUCAAUGAUAAUCUUUUUCUUUAAAUGUUUUACAGUAUUUUUUUAAAAUUGUAUAUCUUAAAGUAUUCGGUGGAAUAGAACAAUGUUCCUUAUUUCUUCAUUAUAAUUGUUGUUCUUUUUAAUUGGAUUUAAUUUUUUUUUUUUUUUUUGGUAAAGUGUUUUAUUUGCUUAUGAGAUGCUUUAUACAGUACUAGCGAAAUAUUAUUUCUUUUAUUGUUCUUUUUGUGAUAUUUUUUAAACUUGAUAGCAAAACUUCUCUAUCAAAGAUUUUCAAAGGAAGGGAAAAAAAUUGGAAUAAAAUUGUUCUCAUUCUGUCAACAUUUUCAAAUGUUUAACAUUAACAUACAGGUGGUAGAAAAAAUAAUUUUAAAAUUUAGUAUGAAUAAAAAAAAUAUGCAAAGCAAGUGUGCACCCUUAAGCACAGGAAUGUGAUGCUGCAAUGUAAACAGUAGGAUUGAUCAAUGCUGCAUAUUUAUUGAAGAUAAAUGCUGGUAAUGAAGAAAUACGAUUACUUAUGUAGUUUUCAAUUAAAUGACAGGCAUGUCUUGAUAUAUAAAAAGCACCAACACAUGUGAUUUUUGUACAAAGCGCAAUCCAUCUUAUAGAAUUUCCAAAGGCACAUGGUAAAAUGUAGAGGGGCAAAGAGGACCAAAAAAAUAAUGUUACUAAUUUUUUAAAGAUAUUGAAGACCAUAAUUAUUCUAGUUGUAUGCAUGAGGUACAAUAUAUAAAAUUUCAAAUUGUAGACCAGAGCACUGUAAAAGAUGUACUUUAUUGUCAUAGUCAUAGCAAUUUUGUUAUUCUUAUUAAUGACCACUGUUAUAAAUAUAAUUCUUAUCAAUCAGUAAAUUGUAAAUUUAAAAAUGUUAUCAUAAGCAAUCCAACAAUUACUGAACACAAAGCUUUCAUAUAACAACACUGAAUUUAUUUUUUAAGGUAAAAUAUUCAAGAAUCCUUGCUCUUAUAAUACCUCUGUUUGAAUAAAAAAGUAUCUAAUGAAAUAAAUUGUAAAAAAAAGAAGAGA